rnacentral:lncRNA from 1 species
AUCCCUUUGGUUGAAAACUACAUUCUUCACUUCUCUCUUGGAACAAAAAACAUCUUCAAGUUAUUUAACAUAUAACUGAAUGACUUUAGAGAUUGUAUAUUUCCACGCAAAGUGAGGAAAGAUCUCAUUGGCUCUCUGCUUGCUAGAAUGUGACAAAAUAAUUACUCUGUAUUGAAUAAGGAUGUGUUUUGUUAAAAAAUUCCAUUAUUUCCAUGGUAAUAAAGUAGAAAGAUUUUAUAUGGGUUUCUACUAUGUCUUUUAAAAAUUCUAUUUCUGCACUGAGUGUUAUUUUUAUACUCACUGAAGAAACUGAAAUUGCACUUUAAGAUUUAAGGGAAAUGUUAAACAGGAACGAUUUUCUAAAAACAAGGCCAGUGCUUCUCAUCUUGAAAGGGGAUGUGAUGGCUUCCAGGCACAUGGGACCAACUCCUUGCUCCGGUCUGAAAAGACACACGUCGCCUUCCCUUCCCGGAAGCUCGCAGGCCUCUGUGCCUCCUGGGCUGGUUCUCAAGCCCAGGACAGUGCCAAGAGGAUGAGCCCCAGGCCUUCUGCACAGCAAGACCCCUGGACUCCCCCACCAUGGAGCCCUGGGGCGGGCUGGUCUGCAGAGCAGCGGCCUGGGACCUGCACUUUAAGAAGCGCUGUCUGAUUUGAGUGGUGCUUAACAAAGCAGUAUGAGGAAGGAGCAAUGACAGGGGAGGACUCAUGGUCAAGCCACACAGCAGGGGCAGGAAGCCCGCGGCCCUUGCUGUGAGAAGAGCUCAGAUCAUUUUCACGUGCUGCUGUGACAGGCAGAGGAGGCUUAAGAAUAAUAGGAGUUUUGGAAGACAGAUUUGAUGGCAUACCCAAUAUAAGAAAUGGAUUAUGAGUAGGUGUAAAAUUGUCAUCUUUACUCUCUGUGUGCUUUCAGUUUACUCAAGGUCUUAGGCAAUGUCUUAACUACAAUUCCAGUUUUUCUCUCUCUGAGAAUGGAUUGCUUUGGCUGGGGAUUACUCACGGUGAACUUGCUUUGCGGGGAGAGUUGCCGACUGUCUUAAUUACAUUUUGAAAAACACAACAACUUGGGGUUAAACUGGAGAAGUUAAUGAUGAAUGCAGUCUGGGGUUCUUCCCCGGCUGCCUUCCCCUGCAGCCGCCCUGGAGGAGGCUGGCUGGCUCGCUCGCUCAGGAGUCCUCAGCGAUUCUUCUUUAUUCAGACAAAGGGACCUAAACUCUGCAGCCAAUGUUGCAGGACCCAAGUGGUCUGUCUCUGCCACCACCUCCUGCUCCCGAUGGCAAAUAAACAGGACAAAAGGAAA